CUCAACUAAGCGAAAUUUGCAUAUUUUAUUUUUAUGCAGAUAUCUUGUUGACAGAGUUCGACCCGGUGGGGUCUGCGUUUCCAUUGUGGGUGUCCGAUUAAUGCGAAAAGUUAAGCAAUUCCGUCCAGGUGGUGGAAGAAAUGAGGUAUUUUUAAUCAUAAAUCUGUGCAAAAAGUUAGAAAUUUUGCUCUAUGGAAGUGCGAUUUGCAUCCGUGGGAAAUUCCACGUAGAAAUAGAUGUGUCACUUUUGAAAGUAAUGAUUUUGCACAAAUGAGAGGAUGUGAGAUACCUAGAUAAAUUGUGUUGGGGACAAUUGCGUAAUUUUUUAUUCUUGGUGACCGAGUACAAUUAAUCUGGAUUAAUGUCAUCAAUUAAUUAUUAUUGUAAUUUUCAAAUGUAUACAUAAGUAUUGCAAAAAAAAUAUUCGCAAAGUUGUAUAAUUUCAGAGAUUGUAACGAUUAUUGAUCAACUAUGUUAAUUUUUAUACUACGUUAAGAGAUUAUUAAAUCGUAUUUUUUUCACUCAUUCAUAGAAAAUAUGCUCCCAUAA